AAGUGCAGUCACUGUGUCAGAGGCUGUGGACAGGGAGGAGGGAGACAGAGGGCAGAGCCGUGAAAGGACAGGAGGGGGAGGGGAGUCCGGCCUACACGGUAACUGUGGACACUCACAAGCACAACUCUCUGCCAUGGCCCCUGUGGUGAAGAGAAGAGGAGGAGGCAGGAGAGGAGAAAGAACAGGGCAUUCGGCAGGUGGUAGAGUGCUGAUAGCCUGAAGAGUACCUUUGUGAAAAUUAGAAAAUGGCACUUGUUCUGUGUGCACUCCACCCUGUGUCAGCCCUCAGAGCUUGGCAAGCUCAGGACAGGCUGUUUCAGUGUCUACUGUGUCUUCCACCUAGAACCUCGUUCAGUGAGCAGCCUACACAACUGUGACCAGCAGUCCUGGCUUGGGGGAAGACUGGCCCAAGUGCUGUGGAAGAUGAGGGCUCAUGAAGAACUGAGAUAAGUGAAGUCAAAGCUGCCCUUGAUAUGGCUACCUGAUGGGUAUGAAGAUGACACCUCUUUCAGAAAGAAGAAGGACAAGAAAAGAGAGAGAGAGAGAGAGAGAGAGAGAAUAUAAGAUGGACCUGUGCAGUAGAUCCCAUCAUCUGUGGUUUCACUUCUGUGGUUUCAGUGACUUGAGGUCAACAGAGGUCUGCAAAUAGGGUGAAUUGCAAUAAGUGCCAAAUGUAUGCAUAAGAAAAGGCAGUCCAGUCAUGUGCCCCACCAUGAUCUUCAGUCAAGGAUGGACAGCAUGUGGCAGGCUACAACUGGGUGUAGCCUGGGUGAGUACUAUGUUGUCCACACAAUGAUGAAACCUCCUAAAGACGAGUUUCUUGGAACAUAUCCCGUCAUUAAGCAAUGCAUGUCUGUAUUAAGUUCAGUACUAUCGGUGGUUUCAGGUAUUUACUGGAGGUCUUGGGAUAUAUCUCUUGCAGAUAAGGGGGGACUACUGUAUAUAGUUAACUUAAGCACAACUAUAUAUAUACCAAAUGCAAAGAAUACUGCCCCAUCCAUUUUCCACUGGGGCAUGGAUGAACCCCAUAACUAGGUGACCUCAUUAUCUAGGGACUGAUGCUGUCUUUAAUUUUGUCAAAUGCUACUGAUGAUUUAAGUAGAAAAAAACCCCGGAUGUGUCCACUGUAUUCUUCAAGGUCAUAGUGAGCUCCUCAGUAGCAGUUCCAGCAGAAGGAGAAAGGCAGAAGCUUGGGUGGUGGGUGUUCCACCAGGGACUUUUCGGUUUGGGUCUCACUUCAGUGUUAAAGCCAAGGCCUUCCUUAGUGGUAUUUCUGUGUUCGCCUUAGUUCUGGUUCAUUUCUCUGCUACUGCAUGAAUCUGUGUGCAGAUUGGAGAUGUCGUUCUCCACUGGCUCCGCAAACAUCUUGGCUGCAGUUGCCUUCAAAUGGAUUGGGUAGGGGGCAUAUGAGACUAGAGUGUGGUGGGUGAGAGUAGCUUGGGUCUGGGGGAGGCUCUCACACCUGCAGACCUCCCCCUGUAGGGCUGGGGAGCUCUGGGAGAGAGACACCCAGCAGGCGGGAGAGCCUCUUGAUGUCCAAGGAUGUGGUUGGUGCAGGUGGCGAGUGAGGGAGAGAAGGAAAGGAGCAGAGAAAUAAAGGAGGCCUGGCAACGUCAGGCUGGGACUGGCUCUCGGUGUGGCCUUGCCGUUACCCAGAACCAGUUUCAAUAACAAAGGUCUCUGUGACUGUGGCUGUGAAGGUCCCUUCCGGUGCUGAGCUGGGACCACAUGACUGCAAGUUCAGGGGUUCAGAGCAAUUUUUUAAAUCUCCUUGUUGUUAUCAGAUGCUGUACAGCAAGUAGAGAAGGGUGCUUUUCAGAAAUGGAUUCUUUUGGAACCCAGUAUUGCUUACAAAGAAUAAAUACCAGGACGCAAUGGUCCCUUCGGCUCAUCACUCUUCUAAUGUGUGUCUCUGAGAUUUUUUUUUAUAUAUUUAACUCGUGUUCCUAAGAGGUUUUAUAAAUCUACAUGAAGAGCAUGUGGUGUGAAAGCAAAAGCCAGCUUUUAGCCUUAUCAGCAAGACCUGAGUUUCGAUUGAUUCGCAUCUGUUUGUUAGUCGGGUGACCAAGGACCAGGAGUCACACAAUGGGGACAACGCAAAUACUUUGGUUGGGGCUUCUGUGGGAACUAAGUGAGGUAGGUGGAUAUUAAGAGCUUGGCAUGGGGCCUGGCCCAUUAGCUGCUAUCAUGCCGACCCCCCCACCCCCAUGAACUAGGAGAAAGGGCAAAAAGAAUCAACCCAUUUUACAGACCUGGAAACAGGAGUUUGUAUUGAACUGACAGGAGGAGAAUCGAGUCCCACUUGGCUCGCCAAUUAAGACGUCUUCGUUCAAUAGCCCCUUCGCCGUUAACAUAAACCAGGAAAAUACCCAGGUCCCAGUUAAUCCACCAUGCUCUCCGUAGGGAAGAAUGAUGGAGCAGCCGGAGGCCAGCUCAGUGGUACCAUGGGGGCAGGGGCCAGGGGGCACGACAGUCCCUUCCACACACAACCUCGGGGACACGUUGAAAGCUGAGAGUGAUUGAAACAUUCCUGUUGCAGGGUUUCAGGCCAGGGGCAGUUGGGAUCCCGCUGUCCCGCACCCCACCUGGGUGGCUGAGCACCUGGACCGGCCGCCAUUGCGGAGGAUGGCCUCUUUCAUUUCCCCUGACACUGUGAUCUGGAGCUAGAGGUGUUGGAGUUUUCUUUCUGUUCUUUUUUUUAACCACAAGGAGGAACCAGUGUAGGAAUGGUGGUGAGCAAAAGCCCUGAGUGUGAGCAUUCCAAUUCCAGGC